UACGUAGGGAGCAAGCGUUGUCCGGAAUCAUUGGGCGUAAAGCGCGCGUAGGUGGCCUCAUAAGUCCGCUGUGAAAGUCAAAGGCUCAACCUUUGAAAGCCGGUGGAUACUGUGGGGCUAGAGUCCGGAAGAGGAGUGUGGAAUUCCCGGUGUAGCGGUGAAAUGCGCAGAUAUCGGGAAGAACACCCGUGGCGAAAGCGGCUCACUGGACCAUAACUGACGCUGAUGCACGAAAGCUAGGGGAGCAAACAGG
rnacentral:rRNA from 1 species